rnacentral:rRNA from 1 species
GCACAACGCGAAGAACCUUACCCACCUUUGACAUGUACGGAAUCCUUUAGAGAUAGAGGAGUGCUCGAAAGAGAGCCGUAACACAGGUGCUGCAUGGCUGUCGUCAGCUCGUGUCGUGAGAUGUUGGGUUAAGUCCCGCAACGAGCGCAACCCUUGCCAUUAGUUGCUACAUUUAGUUGAGCACUCUAAUGGGACUGCCGGUGACAAACCGGAGGAAGGUGGGGAUGACGUCAAGUCCUCAUGGCUCUUAUAGGUGGGGCUACACACGUCAUACAAUGGUGGUGACAAUGGGUUAAUCCCCAAAAGCCAUCUCAGUUCGGAUUGGGGUCUGCAACUCGACCCCAUGAAGUCGGAAUCGCUAGUAAUGGCGCAUCAUCUACGGCGCCGUGAAUACGUUCCCGGGUCUUGUACACACC